UGGGGAAUAUUGGACAAUGGGCGAAAGCCUGAUCCAGCCAUGCCGCGUGGGUGAAGAAGGCCUUAGGGUUGUAAACCCCUUUCAGCGGGGAAGAUAAUGACGGUACCCGCAGAAGAAGUCCCGGCUAACUCCGUGCCAGCAGCCGCGGUAAUACGGAGGGGACUAGCGUUGUUCGGAAUUACUGGGCGUAAAGCGCACGUAGGCGGAUUGUUAAGUCAGGGGUGAAAUCCCGAGGCUCAACCUCGGAACUGCCUUUGAUACUGGCAAUCUCGAGUCCGGAAGAGGUGAGUGGAAUUCCUAGUGUAGAGGUGAAAUUCGUAGAUAUUAGGAAGAACACCAGUGGCGAAGGCGGCUCACUGGUCCGGUACUGACGCUGAGGUGCGAAAGCGUGGGGAGCAAACA
rnacentral:rRNA from 1 species